rnacentral:lncRNA from 12 species
UGCUCAGGUGAGCAAAUGUGUAAAUUCCAAGUUUUAAAUGAAAACUUAAUUUCUAUCUCAAGCUCCUAUUGUCUCUGAUGCAAACAUCAUAAUGGAGUCAUUACCAAGGAAACACAGUCAUGUUAAGUUGCUGUCUGUCAUUUCAGGUUUGAGGUUAGUCAACUACAUUCCUCUUGUGCCUGGAGUUAAUAUGAUGCUUAGAGGGUGAUGCAAAUGGUGGAGAGAGGUUUAUUUCAUGACUUGGGUUUGUCUGGGUGGCCUGCCAUUGUCCAGUCAUUGAAGGAUCUGGCUUAUCUCUACCAUAAUGGCAUUUGAACAGCAUUCUAGCCACAGAAUUCUCUCUCUAGACUGAUGUGGAGGUGAAGAAUUGAAUCAGGAUGAUAACAUCUACUUCCUAAUUCUUUGGCCUUAUUCAUGGAUCUGAAAUGUUUGAGCUCACUCGUUCAGCUGUUCCUUUUGAAAUUCUUACUUAGAGCAAAGUGGCCUCUGGGUUCCCAGCCUGUCAAGGUGAGAGUCAAUUGUUUGCCAUCCCUUAGUGUGCUGGCACAGUGUUGCUCUGACCUCUGAAAACUGCCACCUAGC